rnacentral:rRNA from 1 species
UACGGAGGAUGCAAGCGUUAUCCGGAAUGAUUGGGCGUAAAGCGUCCGCAGGUGGCUCAUCAAGUCUGCUGUUAAAUACUAGGGCUUAACCCUGGAGCGGCCGUGGAAACUGAAGAGCUAGAGUUCGGUAGGGGUAGAGGGAAUUCCCAGUGUAGCGGUGAAAUGCGUAGAGAUUGGGAAGAACACUGGUGGCGAAAGCGCUCUGCUAGGCCGAAACUGACACUCAUGGACGAAAGCGUGGGGAGCGAAUGGG